rnacentral:lncRNA from 1 species
GUGCCAUAUGUCAUCUAGAAAUGAAUCCUGUAUUCCAUGUAUGAAGAGAGGAGGAGUAGAAGUAUAAUUUCCUGCUGAGGAUGCCAUUUCAAAAUUUAGCUUUAUAGCACAUUAAUAUUUACAUUAAUAUGAAUUCAUAUUAAUAUUUUCUACCACCCUAUGUCAAAUUAUCACCAACUAAAACAAAAAUACCCCUAAAUAUUUUUAAGUCUUUAACCUGUAUACUACUAUAAAGCCAUAGCCCCUUCAACCUGUAUUUUGCAGUUUAUUUUUGUCUUUGCCUUUAUUCUUCAUAAAUAUUAUUUGGACAGUUAUGUACGAGAAGCGCCUGCCAACUAGAUAUCAGUCUGAAGUGAGAAUAAGAUUUUAAAAUAUUCAAGGUUGGGGCAAAGAAUCCUUUCCUUGUCAUUUUGGUACUGGCACAGGAACCCAGGGCCUCGUGUGUUCUAGGCAAACACGCUAAGCAUUGAUUUUUGAAUCAUCUUUUAAAAAGUGUAGGCCGGCGAUUUAGCUCAGUGGUUCUGGUGCCUGCCUCUCAAGCACAAAGUCCGAGUUCGAUCCCCAGUACCAAAAAAAAAAAAGAAAAAAGUGGACCACUGGCUUAACUAUUCUAAUAUCGUCUCAAUAAAAUAGGAUCAUACUUGGGACCUUGUACUUGGGAGCCAGGCGGCAGAAGCACUGAGCUAAAUCCCCAGCCCUUUAGUGCUUCUUUUGAAAGAGAAUUGUUUUUAUUACUCUUCUCUUUGUGACUGAAAAGUUGUGUAAUAGUAAGCAAUAUAGAAGCUACUUUUUAACUGCUGGCAAACUGCUGUAAGUGCACUUUCUUUGAUUAUACUUCCAUUUUAUUUUUUGGUUAAACUUGAAUUUCUGAAGCCUUUUAUGUACCACUGAGCAAAUAAUUUUACUUUUUUCUUUUCAGUACUGAGGAUCAAGCUCAGGACCUUGUGCUUGGGAGUGCAAUAAAUCCCCAAUGGAUUGCCUAUUCUUUAUAAUCAGUGACUUUGGAGUUUUUCAUUACUUGUCUUAUUAAAGCUUUGGAUUAAAAAAAAAUCCCAAGCACACUGCACUUUAUGGCCAGGCCUAGAGUGAAGAAUUCAGAAGGCAUUUUAAGCGGUAAGUUUCUAAAUUCCUUCUUUCUCCUCACAACUUUCCCUAGGCUUUUUAAAGCAUAUUUUAAUGUCAUUUAAAAUUAUGUAACUUCUCACACUCAUCUUGUUUUAUUUUUAUAAUAAGUUAAUAUUGAAAGCAUUUUUUAUGAGUAUAUUC